rnacentral:lncRNA from 1 species
AACUCAUGGUGUGUUUAUUUUGUGUUACUUGCGCUAACAAUCACGAGUAGAAUUGUGUGCGGUUUGUUUUCUUGUGGUAAAGACUACAUGAGUAGAAUUGGCAUGUACUAGAAUAUUUGAUUUCCAAUGCUUCUUCUUAGCUAACAUAUGCACAUACUAUUUUUAUUAGUGGGUACAUGUGGACAAUGCCAGAUUUGGAGGAUUCUUUUGAACGUUUCAUCGUUGAGCCCUUUUGCUUUCCUUGGUAAAUCCAUCACACGUUUUUAUUACUUGGGAGCCGCAUGCUUCAUUGGACCCAUAAGACCCAUCUUCAUCUCCAAUCCUAUAAGUUUACACAGCCGUCCCAUCUUCAUCUCCAAUCCUACAAGUAUACACAGCCGUCCCAUCUUCAUCUCCAAUCCUACAAGUUUACACGGCCAUCCCAUCUUUCCCAUCUUUCACUUGAACGGGGAGAACAGGGUACUCAGAGUCUGGUAAACAAAAAAGAUGAACAGACAUACAAAAUUCAAACACCCUCCGAUUUACAUUGGAUUUCUGUAAGCACAUUGAUAAUUGAUAAACAGAGAAAAGUAAAUUAAAGCAUACUAAAAUUGUACUAGAUCCUCCGUGUUGCACUUUCUAUUGCUUUAGCUAACUGGCAGGUAGAUACUUUAGUGACUAGGUUUGGGUUGGAGACGCUCAAAGAACUUCCGCUGACGGUAAAUGCUCCUACUUUGGCAGUAGAAAUAUUUGCCAUUUUCGAAAUGAGUAACUCAAAUGCUAGUUGAAUCGCAAGACAGUUCCUACCGUGGAAAAUCUAAAGAGUAUUUUCAGUGUAAACAGUAAUUGUACUUAUAUAACAUGUAAUUACCAACUCAACUACUCCCUCCGUUCCUAAAUAUUUGUCUUUCUAGACAUUUUGAAUGACUACUACAUACGGAUGUAUGUAGACAUAUUUUAGAGUGUAGAUUCACUCAUUUUGUUCCGUAUGUAGUCACUUGUUGAAAUGCCUAGAAAGACAAGUAUAUAGAAACGGAGGGAGUACAUGAUAAAAACAUGCACUUGCAUGCUCGGUACUCCUUGAGCAACUCAUUUAAUGAGCACCCAAUCUUUAAUAACUCGUUUGUCUACAUAUUAUUCGAUUUGAAACCAUAAAGUCUAACCAAAAAAAGGCCAAGUUAGCAAACAAGCAAAGCUCCAUUUGCGUCUAUCGUUUUCUUACCAUAGUCAAACUUUUAUACCAGGAAUAAAAUAGGCCAUCGGUAACUUGACAGUUUAGCAAUGAUGCCAUGAAAAAUAAACAUAAAAUAAAUUGAGGUCGGCACACGUGGCUGUCACACUUUAGCAAAAUUCUUGUCUGAAACAUGCCAUUGGUGGUAGAUAUUUAAAAAACUGCUGCCGUGAUUAGUCAAAGGCAAAAGGAAAUAGAGCAGGCAAAUAAACACUAGCCAAAUCAAUUAUAUAUUGUUUUUUGUAAAUCUUUACACAAAGUAUAAAUGUCAAGGACAAAACUGAAGGUCUGCAAUAUUUAAAUUUUUACAGUAAUCCGUGAAGAAAUAUGUACAGCAGUUAAUUCACAAUACAUGAAAAAUAAUCGUGGUUUAUCUUUGUUAAAACAGAUAGAAAUUGAGACAGCACUGCGUGUACUGUACAUAUAUCAUACACUAUCUUCUUCAGGCUUAUCUGAGGGCCUGAUCAGAGGAGCUACCCUCUCAGAAAUGAUGGCCUUACCAUUCUCAUCCCGUUUGACAGGGUACAACACAUAGUGUUGAAUUAUGAAGAGAACAUCGAAGAAAACAGUUUCCUACAAAUUCAGGGACAUGAAAUUUAGUAAUAUUUUAUACUGUGAGAACAUGUCAGAAAGCUAACAGGUGACCAAAAACGUAUAGUCUGUAAAAGACUAAUAACUCAUGCUCACCAAUGAAAGAAGAGUCUUGCCGAUAUUUCCAUAGAAAUUCACUAAAGUGUCUGCAGCACAAUUUGUAUUGUUAGGAAAAGAAUCCAAAUAUAUAUACAUAACAUAGAGCAUGACAUGAGUUGCAAUGAAAGGAAAAAUGCAGCUUACGCUGAUCAAUAGAUUGCACACCCAUCUGACCAAAGUUCAGCACCCCCCCUGUAAGAUCAAGUAAAAUAUUGCCAAUACUCCAACCAACUGUACUCUUCCGCCUGAAGUUCAUCACAGCCUAAGGCACAUAGGAAACAUAAUAAUGGUUAGAAAGGACACUUAACAACAGCACACCACUUGUAUUUAUGUACUUAUUAUAUAUGCUCUAGUUUAGAAAUAUCGAAGUGAGAAUUUGUACAUUAUAGAACAAGAAAACUUCAUUCAAAUGAAAUAUAAGAACCAAUGGAAACUUGACAUAUCUGGGGUGUUCAUAUUUAGUUAAGUUUAUGUACAAUGCUCUCAACUGCUGAUUAUUGAACGCAGAUACAUCAUGCUGAAUUUCAGUGUUCCUUUGUCCAUAUUUUGUAAUUUGUACUACGUAUAUGAUAUCACUAGUUCAACAUUCACAUCAGGAGACAGUCAUUUGGUUGUACUCUGUAACUUAAGUAAUGAUAACAAGUAGUAAUACCUGAGGGAUGUACUUGACUGUUGUCAUCGCAACCUGUAUUGAACUGAGAUUCAAAAAGAUAGGAGCAAUAUCAGUCCCACUUUUACGAACAGAAGCAAGAUAUAUCAAUUAAAAACAUUUAGCUGAUAAUAACAAGCAAUGUUAAUAACAGUGAACGUACAAAAAACUUACUUGAAUACAUCAAUAAGCCAUAGCCAGUUACUUUUUGGCCAAGCUACAAUGAGGCAAACAAUAGCAGCUGACCAGACAACAGCAGAGAUUGAUAUGCACACUUUGGAGACUUUCUGGUUUCCACGCUGUAUAUUUCAAGUUCAAACAUUCGAUAUUAAGUUUCACGAUUUAGAAGAUGUAUCUGCAGUCCCUGAGGACAAGUAAACUAACCUCAUAAAUAAAAACUUGGUAAAGGGUAAAAGAUGUCAAGGCCACUGCAUGUAGAGAGAAAGCAACAUCAUUUGCAGCAACAGGAAUCAUCUGCAUCAAACGAUACAUUUAGUUAAUGUUAAUUUUAGGCCUGGGUAGAUAUAAUCUUGAUACUACCCCAAUUUUUUUUGUAGUUAUUGUAGCUAUCUAGGUGGAGUUGGUGUUGCGCAAUAUGUAAAUGCCAAUGUGGAGGGGCUCUUUACUCCCGCUAUCUCCUCCAAUACGCACACUCGUGCGUAUUCGAGAAAAAAGUUAUUGUAGCUAUAUAUUAGCAAACAAUAUUAAAAAUAUAAUGAUAUUAGAGUAUCUGUGGCAGCAAAUAAAUCAAACAAGAUUAUUAGAUGGCAAAUCUAAAAAAAUUAAUGUUCAAGAUUUUAGAACAUUAACUACAAACUUCCGAAUACAGCAUCUAUUCAAGAUCGAUGGGAGUCAUGAUAAUAAAAGAAUGACCUAGCGUAUUUUGUUUCACAAGUACGUACAACAUAACAAAAUACAUGGAAUGGAAUCUUUUUCUUUAAAAGUACUAACAUGUUAUUACAAUAUAAAUGCUACUAAUAAAAAUAUCAAAUCAUAUGUACAUCUAGACUUUCUUUGGAAUUAUCAAACUUGCUAGACAUACUAAUACAAUUUGUAAUUAUUUGCAUCCAAUAUUUGCCCUGAACAAAUAAAAGAAGCCAUAAAGAACCAUAGAUGACAAUUACCAAAUUCAGUUACACAGAAAUGAUGUGAAAUUUGUCAGCUAAAAUUGAGUCUAGAAUGGUUUUUAACCAGUUGGUGAUUGGUCAUAAAAUAGUCCUGAUAGACAUCAACAAGUUGUACUGGCUAUAAUAAUGGCUCUCAUGGAGAGUGGAAUCCUAAUCAUAGCUAACAAAAUUUUAAAAAAGUGCAGCUUUCAAAAUCACAGUAACAUUAAAAUCAUACAAGCACAAACCAUGGAUAAGUAGCACAAUGGAGUGGUCAAACACAAAGCAAGAUCCUUGAGCAUACCAAUAUAUUGAUUGCUAUAAAUACCAAUGAAAAGAAAAAAAAAUCUAUAGUACAGCUACCUUGAGUUUCUACCGUUAAUCUGUAUAGCUAACAUAAAGAUGCUAAAAUGGUCUUCCUGCCUAAUUCACAUAGAAAUAAAAACACACGAGUAUAGGGAAGUCCCUUAGGUAAGGAUCCAGCCACGUGUUACCCCAUCCAAAUUAAUUGUGCCAAUAGAAGUGUGGCUGAAACCAUUAGUUUGCCAUUUGAUCAGAGUCAAAUAUGCUCUGGGUAUGUACCCCAGUAAGACUAUUUAGCUUUAUAAUUCUUCUGGAAUACAACAAACUAGAACAGAGACCUUUUGUUCCAGUGCACCUGUUAUGAUAAUUGUGUGUUUAACAAGCAUGGCUAUUAUUUAAAAUAAGGACUAUGGGUAACUGACCAGACAUGAUGCAAGAUCAUAAAUAUGCUAUGACACUGAAAAAAUAUGUUGCUCCUAAAAUUAUUCCCACCAUGAACUAUCCAUAAAAAUAAGGCAGUGACGCCUAACCUCUUUAUCACCAAACUUGUCAUGAUACUGUUGCUGGAUGAAGGGGCUGAAGAAUAGAGCAGCAUUGUAUAUGAGGUAGGAAGAGUGCUUUGUGAAAUUCAGCACCAGAAAAUCGAAGUUCAGACCGACGACACUGCAAUUUGUGAAAACAGGUAAACCACAGAACAAAUCUUAAAUGAUAACAUAGAUAUUUGGAUCACUAACAUUCUGAGCUGUUGCACAGAAAACCACGAUGGGCCUACAUCUUUUCUUGUGUCAGAGUACUAUUUAAAAUAACUGAAUUUGCAUGUUGAACAUAAAUACUGAACAAAUGUAAAGGUCCAAACGAAAACAACUGAGUUAACAAACUGCCACAAUUGCGAAAGGUAAAUCUAGGGUGAGGCAAAAGAAGUGCUGAUCAAAUACUACACAAACUUGACUGGUUGAGUAGAAUUGAAACAUUACCAAACUAUACUUCAAAGUUCAGACUAAAAUAUAGAGGGAAAAAACUGGAAAAUAGUAAGGUUAAACAUGCACGCAUUUUCAACAACUAAAGGGCAUACCAAACUGAGGUGCUAGAAAUGUCUACAAUGGGUAGAUAAGAUUAUGAGAUCUGCAUACGUUUUUGAAGGACAAACCAAGAGGAUUACACUACAGGGUACACUUCUGCGUAAGUCCAAAUAUGAGAACUCACGCAUAACGAAUUUAAAACGGCGCCAGUUAGACGGAAGUUUCAGACACAAGUAGCUUUUCUUAGUCAUGAUGUUUAGCUAGUCAUAACUGCAAGAAUCGACAACAAUCAUGAUGGAGGGACAACAACGUGUAAAUAUAAGAUGUUUUGAAUAUUUCAAUGUGAACUAGGAGUAUAUACGGAGUAGAAUGAGUGAACAAACACACUAAAACGUGUCUAUAUACAUACAAUUCAAAAAAAAGUUAGAACAUCUUAAAUUUAUGAAUGGAGGGAGUAGUUUAUAAGCACGACAAGCAACUACGGUGCGUAUAUACACCACAUGUCCUACUAUACGCCAAAGGUUCAUUCUACUCCGUACUAACUGCCUGUUGCUUUGUUUCCUUCCCCUAUACUUUGCACAUAUGCCCCCCUCCUGUAAACAGGGCCAUUAUCUUGUCACAGGAGCAAAGCAAUCGUGACAAUUAGUAGAAUUUCCAGCAGCCAAAGACACGGCUCAUCAUCAGCUCAAACAAAGCUGCAUUUUUUCUAAGCAUUUGACACGUUUUACCACCAUAUCCAUCUUACACAGGUACCGGACAAAUUUCUCAGGUCCAUCCAUCAAUAGGACGAAUUUUUUUUGGCAAAAUCAAGACACAUACCUUUCUCUGUGCGGAACUAUGACGCUCAAACGGAUGUAUCUAGCACUGAAAUACGUCUAGAUACACCCGUUUGAGGAGCAGGCGAACAGCAGGUCAAACAGAUCUAGCCCAAGAACGCUAUAGGCAAAGGGGUAAAGAGAAGGGGGGAGAAGGAGCACCUCUUGCGCCUGUAGUUGAGGACGACCUGCGGGUAGAAGCUGAAGGACCAGGCGACGAAGGCGAUCCACCCGAUGACCUGGUAGAGCACCUCCAGCCCCACCGAGUUCCACGACGACGACAUCGCCGGCGGCCCGUUGCCUCUAUCGCCCCCCUCCACCUGCUGAGUUUGAGUGCAGGGCCUUCUGACAGCGAUCUCUGCGGAUUCUUGCCGCUGCCCCGGAAUUUAUAGUGCGGGAAAAGGACGGUCGGAAUCCAUCCAGAGGAAAAGGAAUCGAUUAAUAUCUCCCCGAUUCCCCGUGCAGCGUCCCCCCGUCGUCAACGCAAUUACUCCCAUGCUUGCUGGGGGAAAACUGGCCGGGUCUGGUUGCGGAACGGAUCGGGACGGGUUCCCCGGACAGGUGCGGACUUGCAGUUUUCUUUUCGGUCGUGAACGGUAGGUUUGCAGUUAUUGCCAGUUUGCCACACACGAGCUGAAUUUCUUUUUAUUUGUAAUUACUCCCUCAGUUUUUAAAUGUACGACCUUUUAAAGAUUUCAAUACGGACUACAUACCGACGUAUAGUACUCCUUUCGUCUAAAAAAAGCUUGUCCCAAGCUUGUCCCUUGAAUGGAUGUAUCUAGCACUAACUCGGUGCUAGAUACAUCCAUUUGAGAAACAAAUUUGAAAUAGAGGGAGUACAAACUUUCAGUUCUUUUUCUAGAUAUACUUCGUAUUUGAGAGGAGAGAAUACUCACGCAAAAAAAAAACUUCCUCCAUCUCAAAUUACUUGUACAGUUUGUCUAAUUCACAUCUAGAUGUUUUUAAAAAAUGUCAUAUCUAAGCUCCUAUAAAUAUAUAAUGCAACAACAAGAAACCAAAUAAAACUAGAAAAAAAAGAUCACAAACAAAGUGGACACCAGUUUAGAUGUAACAUAAUUUAUGUCACAACUAGAUGUGUCCUAGACAGACCGUAAACCCUAAACCCUAAACCCUUACUUGUCUUCGAUUUGUUUAGGUACGGAUGUAUUUAGACACGUUGUAGUACUAGGUAUAUUCAUAUUUAAAUAAAUCUAAGACAUUUAAUUUGGUACUGAGAUAAUAACUAUUAACAGUUCCGGGCUGGUCAUUUACUAAUUUAUAAUUUCUAAUAAAUCUUAAGUUUUCAUGUAACGCAAGAAAUUCUAUAAAAAUGUAAGGCAAGAAAUCUUCUAUAUCUAAAUAGCUAGCCUCCACUAACUAUUUCUCCUAACAUGCAAGCACGCCACAUCAUCGUACAACAUGCACGAGAAAAGACCCACACUUAUUAACAUAUGUCUCGCAACAUGCAAGCAUGCCACUUCAUCAUGAAACCUGCAUGAAAGAAGACCUAUCUCAACAUGCGAAUUUCUAUUAUAUUAUUCUAUUUAUAUUUAAUAAAUUUUUUACAACCAUAUAGUGAUCAAACAUAAUAAAUUAUAUGUAGUUUCAGUUUUAUCCUUUUAUAUAUGUUUCAUCCAAUGAAUCACAUUGAGAUAUGUUACAAAAUAUUUCCGCAACAACGUGCGGGGUAUUAUCUAGUUCUAUAAAAAUGUAAGGCAAGAGGUGAAGGUGCUCUGUUUAGUCUCACCUUGGUAGUGGAGGCGAAGUAGUGUCUCCACCACGUAACAGUUGCUUCUAUCACUUCGCUUUUCUUGAGUGUUGAACCUUCUGAUAGUGAUUUCUAUCUCUCCGUGAAUUAUGACCGUCCUUGGGUUUUUAGGGCGGAAAAGGGGAAGAUAGAGUCCGUAGGACAUGUAAUCAUUAAUUUCUGCCAUACAGUGUCACUAUCGUCGACGGAAUUGCUAGAUUAUGCUUGUUGGAAUAAAACGAUGGUGGCAUUUACAGCUGGUUUUCUGAACGAAUUUUGAUGGAUACACGAUCAUGUACAACCUAUUAUACUCCUAAGUUUUGCAGUUAUUGCCAUUCAAGAGCUGAAUCAUUUUUGGCGGGCGCUAGGCGUCAGCCGGUUGAUCCCAAACGUGGUGUAUCAGUUGCCUCAUGCGUCGUUCGAUUGGCAUGUCUCUAACCGUUAGAUCCAGUAGAACCCCUUUCCCUCCACCACCGACCCUUUUAAGUGUCGCGCCCCAUCUUUACAUAACUCACAUCCAUUCCUCUACUAUCGAUGCCUCUUGUAGCAGUGACAACAUGCAACGGCUCAACCUUUGCAGCGUCAGUCCCUGCCAUUGGCUAUGUGUACAUCCAUGUCUUGCAGCUUGCAACACCUACCGAUGACCUUGCAUCGCUGGUGAGAUUUGCACUUGCAACAAUGGUAGUCGGCUUGCAACACUCGCAGUCGACUUCCCCUGGGUGACGAGAUCUACAUUUGCAGCAGUUGUUGUCUGCUUCCUAGAGUGGUGAGAUCCGCUGCUACAACAUUGGCCACCCACUUCCUCAAGUGUCUGCCUUGCAGAAGCAUGCGACAAGCGGUGCCUUCGCACUAUAGCACCGAGUCGAUGUUGUAGCAACCCACAUUUCCUUGUGGCAGCAAUGGCGAGGCCAUCUUGUCUCUGAAUUGUGUAUGAUGCCUCUGCUUUGCAAGAAAGGCUAGCAUGAUUGGAAGGUGUGCACGGCCUGGUUGCUUGUGAAGAGGAUAGAGGACAGAGGAUGAGAGAGAGAGAGAGAGAGAGAGCAAUGCAUGUCUUGACGAGACGUUCAGAGAUAAGAGGAUAAGAGGGGAAAGGAAAAAAGAAACAUGAGCUCAAGACUUGAUGGGAGAGUGGCACAGACACAUAGCGUCUCACAAGGCGACUGACGCCUUGUAUCAACCGACUGGGUUGAAGUCUUUUGCAUGUUCUUCUUUUUUAGUUUAAAAACUUUCAGUUUUGGGGUAUGGUUAGGAUGAGAUAGCGAGAAUUUCGCAAAAUAAAGGGCACCACAAUAUCACCCAAACAUUAGGCCACUUAAAUGCAUACUAUCAUAUGUGUCAGAAUAGUAGUGCACAAUACUACUUUAAUCAUUACAUUCACAUUGCAUUAGUGUCUUACACUAGUAGCAUACUAUUAUUUAAUUUAUUCAUUUUUAGAACCUCAUUAUAAUUUGUUGAUAUUAUCUACUCCCUCCGUCCGGAAAUACUUGUCAUCAAGAUGAAUAAAAGGAAUGUAUCUAGAUGUGUUUUAAUUCUAGAUACAUCCCUUUUUAUCCAUUUCGAUGACAAGUAUUUCCGGACGGAGGAAGUAUUUAUUACUAACUUUCCUCAUUUGAUCUUCUAUGAUAUUGUAUCAAAAGAUGUGCUGGACUCUUCUCUCUCUAUAUCUCUCUCUCUCUCUUACCUAUAAUGCAACAUCAUCUUCUUUUAGGAUACACUACAUGAUACUCUUAUGAUUAAGACACAGUUACACGGCUUCUUGCAAUUAGUGAAACAAGCGAAUCGGCUGCUAGGGUAAGCCGGUCAUGUUUCACUAGAUUGUUGGCAAUUUUGCAUAAAACCUCAGUUGUCCCGAUUUGAUAAUUCCUUAUGCAAGUUGUCCUAAUAACCUUCGGCGUCUGCUAUCAUCAGUAAAUUUUGGAAAGAGUUAUUUUGAUGGAUUGUAACAGACAUCCACUAUCAUAAUCAAAUGGGAUAAGUAUAUUUUUCGUCCUCGAACUCUUCUGAGAAUUUAGAAAUCGUCCCUCAACUUCAAACCGGAUAGUUUUCAUCCCUCAACUAUCAAAACCGGAUAGUUUUCGUCCCUCGUGCCGCUUCGGGCGGUUUUAGUACGCGGUGAAAAGUAACUCGGUGAACAGUAAAUAAAAAAAAUAGCAACAAAAUUCAAAAAAAAAUCUGAAAUUCUACAGCAUCGAAGAUAGUCUAGUGCGCAAGAACCGUGCAAAAAUUUCGUUGUGUUUCGACAUUCGAGCAGCUCGUGGCAAACAAAAAACUCUAAAUAUAUACGUCGGUGAACAGUAAAUUCAAAAAGAUAGCAAACAAAAUCAAAACAGUAUGAAUUUUUUGGCAUCAAAGAGGCUCGGGUGUGCAACAUGCGUGAAAAUUUUCAUGGUGUUUGGGCAACUUGGGGCAAAAAAAAAAACUUGGCUCAAAUUUACUUUUUUGAAAAAGUGUGUCAUUUUUUUGCUAGAGCUCCUCGUGUGUCAUUUGAUCACGAAAUUUUGCACACAUCUUACCUACCUGAGCAUCUUUGAUGCCAAAAAGUUUCAUUUUUUUGCUAUUUUUUGAAUUUACUGUUCACCGACGUACAUAUUUAUAGUUUUUUGUUUGUCACGAGCUGCUCAAAUGUUGAAACAACAUGAAAUUUUGCACGGGUCUCGCGCACCAGAGUAUCUUCUAUGCUGUAAAAUUUCAGAUUUUUUUUAUUUUUUGCUAUUUUUUCAAUUUUACUGUUCACCGCAUACUAAAACUGUCCGAAGCGGCACGAGGGAUGAAAACUAUCCGUUUUUGAUAGUUGAGGAACAAAAACUAUCCGGUUUGAAGUUGAAGGACGAUUUCUAAACUCUCGGAAGAGGUCGAGGACGAAAAAUAUACUUAUCCCUAAUGAAAUUAGAAAAUGAUUAUUUUGAUGGAUUCUAAUAUAAUCUAGCAUGUAAAUGUACUAGCCAAUUCAUCCAAAACAUCAAGAUGGGAAACGUGGGCUAUGUAUUUAAUGUAUCUAGCACCAGUCUGCAUUUUGUGUUUGCAUGCAAAAUGACACAAUCAUAUGACAAUGUUUGCAUCAUAAUCAGAAAAGGUGGGUGAAAUCAAGCUACAUGAUGGUGUACAUAAUCUCAGCAGGCCAAUGAGGUUGAGGCUAUUCUUGCUUUAUCUCUUUAUAUUCUCCAUCUAGAGCCUGAACAUAGCAACUAGUAUGUUUCAACUACAAAAAAAUUACAUUCUCUAUUUCAAUUUAAAAGUAUCAUGUUCUCGAUUUCGAUGGAUUCACUGAACAGCACAAUAAUGAUUCAAAACUUCACAUGUUUUUAAUUAUCACCAUGUUUUUCAUCGGUUAUCCAUAAAUCAAUUUAUAAUGAAAAUCUUGUAUUUACUAAUUUUUUUGCAUGGUAAUACACAACAAAGCUAAAGGAAGCCGAUCAAUUCAGUACGAACCUACACCGUGGUCGUUGUUUGAAAGCCAACUAUUGUUGGAAAGAAUCGAAGCCGGUUUAUAUCACAAGGAUCAUAGUAUAAGGUACAUACAUACCGACCUUACAAAAUUGAACAAAUAGCAGAACCCUAGCUUUUGCACAAAGGAACAAUAAUUAAGAAGUAAAAUUACAAAUAAGACCAAAGAAAUCUCUGAUCAUGACACCAAUGCCCGUCACUUGCAUCCGGCGCCACCACAGCAGCCACCAAAAGAAAAAGAAUGAUGAAUCAUCUCCACACCCGAGCUCAAUACGACUCCAUCGAUGAUAUGCAUCUUUGCGGACUUCCAAGGUGACUCGCCAAAAGCAAAACCAUUACUGUUGAAUGAAUCAGACCGGGGCAACACCCCAGACACGCCAUUGAACUCCAUAUCUGGUACCCCACAAGAUAAAACGUCGGAGGAGGAAACCAUACCUGCCAUCCACGUACCAUGAACCCAGCACAUGAUCCACCAUCUUCAAGAUGCCGUUGAUGUAGACCAUAAUCUGCAUCCGCUCUUGGGCUACCUCUCAAGCUCUGCGCCGGCGCAACAGUGGAGCCCGAGGACACAGGUCGACCACAAGAAUGCUGCCGUCGCCACACCUUCCUUGCUUGAACAGACUAGAUUCAAAUUCAUCCCCAACCAUAGGACCAAUCGCCUCAUCGGAGUAGGAUCUAAAGAAAUUGUAUUCAACGCCCCAUCGCCGCCGCCGAAGUCAAGACGAUGAACAACCUAAAAACCAAGCCACUUUAGCCUAAAACUAUCCACAUGCGUGGAUUCGACGACCACCUCAUCAUCAACGACCGAGGUUGUCGGCGGAGGAGAGCCGCGGAGGACGGCGGCAAAGGAACUCCCUUGUGGCGCAUGCGAGAUCGUCUCUUUCUUCGAUAGGAAGAAACGAACGAUGCACAUAGCUUUUUUUUUUUGCGGGGAUGCACGUAGCUGAUGUACUGUAUUUGUUAAUUGAAGGCAUCUCAUGAGCCCUAGGCUAAUCUUAAAUGUCCACGUGUUUUUUUUUUCACAUCCAAUUUUUGUUUUACAUGAUCUAAGUAGUUCUAACAUGACGUGCAGUCAUCAACUGGGUUCUAGUGUGAUCUCCUAUCGUACGAGCAGUCCAAAAAGUAAUCUCAUCUCAUGUGCAGUGGUCGUUUUAUACUUCUACUCAACGUACAUGUACAAUACUUUACCAAGUUGGUAUGUCGCCGCCUUUUCUCCCCGACCGAGCAAGCUACAACCUUUCCUCCAGGAUGUUUUGGGUGGUUUCUGAGGAGCAUCUCUGCUUCGCCACCUAGGCUCAUCCGCACGUCGUGGUGCCCUUUCUCAUUUUAUUUUGUGUCCCCUGCUCAUGCUUAUCGGACAUCGUUGCUCUUCCUUGUGUGUUUCUUCUCCUGCCUUUCUCAACCUCAAUCUUUCAUAUCUUUCAUAUACUUUUUUGUAAAGAAAUAUAAAAGCUCUUAAAUACAUUGAAACCUACUUAAUAAAGGCGUGAUUCAAUUCAUGUUCUCUAGCUCAUUCGUAUAUUUUUUUAACACGGAACACACAGAUGCUCACGUACACGCAUAUAUACUCACCAUCGUGGAUGCACGCACACACCCUAUCCUUAUGAGCAUUUCUAAGAUAUUGAGCCGGCAUAAUAUUUUGAGAUUAAUGAAGUCACCAUAGUUGCCUCAUAAUCGACGGAAACAUUUUCUCUCACUGAACGAUUAACCUUAGCUUCCAAGUUAUGAAUACGAAUCAAUCCAUGAUCUAUUUUAACUUUUUAUUUUUAUCUCGGACGCAACUACGUAGCAGCGACGGAUAUUGGUGCUCCCGUGUGGAGCCAAAUUCAGUGUUUUGACCCUUUUUGGAAAUUGAGCAGGAUGUGACCCUGCUUUGUAAUUGUUUUUGAGAUUUAACACUUUUUCUACCACUGAGGUCGAUGGCAGUAGAGUUAAACAGCCUCGCCAGGGGCUCUGACGCUAGGAUUGACGGCAGAGGCAGACGGCCGUUGAUCGGCUGAUGUGGAUAAAGAACCUACCGGCAGACACUUGGGCGGUACCCUACCCCCCCCCCACCCCACCCCACCCCCUUGGCUUAUAACUGUUCAAACCCUACCGUCAAGGUCGAUAACGGUAGGGUAUAACAGCCUACCGCUGUGAGCCUCGACGAUAGGGUUGACGGUAGAGACGACGGGCGUUUAGCUGCACUGACGUGGCUAAGUUUCCUAUUGUCCGGCCCCUCAAUGGUAAGCUGUUAUACCCUGCCGCCAUCGACCCCGGCCGUAGAAAAAAAGGGUUGGAUCCCAAAAUUUAAUCAAACCAGGGUCAUAUUUUACGACAACUUUCGCAAAAAAAUCAAAACAGCGAAUUUGUCUCUCGUGCGGUGGCUACUGCCCACAAGCAAAAGUCGCUGGCAAAAAGCAAAAUAGCAUGAAUCCAAAAAUAGUACAACUAGCUAUAACUUAUUUCCUUCUUGUUGCCAAUUUUCUCUCUCUACCAUGCAUGCAUACGAUGACAUCAUCAAGAUUCCGUAAUGUUUGAAAUUCAUAAUAUUUUAUCUCUAAGACCGUUAAUUCAAUCAAUGAUCUAUUUACACAGUUGACUUUGACGCGACAAGAUCUUUGAAACUAAAUUCCAUGUCGACAUGUUUCAACAACUUUUUUUUCCGUCAGUACUUGCCACAUUGUUCCACCCACUUGUCAUUUUAUUACCCACUUACUCGCUUGACGGAAAAUAACUUAAUUGCCAUGUUUAAUGUCAUUUCGUAUAAAGCUUGUCAGUGCUUAUGAAACACCAGUUGCCACAAAUAAUUUGUUGUGCUUGUCAUUUUAGUUCUACCUUGUUGCCAUAUUGUCUCAUACAGCUUGUCAGUUACUGUAAAAUUAGUUGUCGCAGUAUUUUGUUGUACUUAAACUAGUGCAGAACCGGGCAAUAGCAUCGGUUCGUAAGACCCUUUAGUGCCGGUUUGGUAACCGGCGCUAAAAUGUAGGCACUAAAGCCCCCCCCUUUUAGUACCGGUUCAGCAUUAACCGGUGCUAAAGGGCAACCAUGUGGCACGAGCCAACUUCGGGGGCAGGGAGCCCUUUAGUACCGGUUGGUGUCACCAACCAGUAUUAAAAUGUUAGGGGGGGGGUUGGGUUUAUGAUUUCUUUUUCAUUUAAUUUUGUGUUUUCCAUUUAAUUAUUUUUCGUUUGCUGGUAUUUUACGAUACUACAUAUUGUACACGUUAUGCAUAUAUAUAAAUAGAAUUUCUAGUAGAACCGAUCAUAAUAUAUAUAUAUAUAUAUAUAUAUAUAUAUAUAUAUAUAUCAUCGAAUGUCUCACACAACCACCAUUAAUUAAUUCACACAUAUAUACACACAUGUAUAUAUAUAUAUACAUACAAUUUCUCCUAAUUGGUGCCUUCGGAGCCAGUGGCAUUAGCCUAGCUAAUUGGUGCCUUCGGAGCAUGAUAACAAUUGGAAAUGGUUCAUGGGGCGGUAGCGGGUAAUAGUAUUCUCCUUUGGGAUCUAUGACCUGGUCGAGAUCAAAAAUCCCGCUAUUUCCUCUUGAAUUGCUUUUAUGCGGUCCUGUGCUAGGAGCUUGUCCCGCACCUCUUUGAACUGUUAAGAAGGAAAUCAAUAUGCAUGUGUAUUAGUUGUGUGACUAGAUAUCGAUAAUGGUGUAAAAAUUGUGAAUAGUGUUCUGACAAUCGAUAUUGUACCCACUCCUGUCUUUGAGAUUUGCUCCUUUCGGACGUCAUCAUGUGAAUGUUCUCGCAAACGUAGUAUGCACAUAGAUCAUUCCCCGGCGCCUGCUUCAGGGCCUUUACGAGAAUGAAAUUUGAUCAGAUAAUAAUUAAUCAAGCAUGAUAAUUAAAGAGAUGACAGCUAGCUAGUACUACUUAAUUACUUACCUUGGGUCGAUACCAUUUCAGAUUUUGUUUCCAUGGGCCUGGAGUGGCCCUGAUGAACUUUGCCCAAGCCCUGCCCGCCGACAAAGAAUGAAUAAAUGGGUUAUUAGAUAGUUGUUAUCAGGAAAUGACAAACUAAUUAAAUAGGCUGAGAUAUAGUUAAUAAUGAUUGAAAUUACCUGUUGACUAUCCCCUUCACGAUGGUGUAGUCACUUGCUUUCUUAAGUAGUGAGUCUAGUACUUCAACUGUGUUGGAAAUAUGCCCUAGAGGCAAUAAUAAAUUAGUUAUUAUUAUAUUUCCUUAUUCAUGAUAAUCGUUUAUUAUCCAUGCUAGAAUUGUAUUGAUAGGAAACUCAGAUACAUGUGUGGAUACAUAGACAACACCAUGUCCCUAGUAAGCCUCUAGUUGACUAGCUCGUUGAUCAAUAGAUGGUUACGAUUUCCUGACCAUGGACAUUGGAUGUCAUUGAUAACGGGAUCGCAUCAUUAGAAGAAUGAUGUGAUGGACAAGACCCAAUCCUAAGCAUAGCACAAGAUCGUGUAGUUCGCAUGCUAAAGCUUUUCUAAUGUCAAGUAUCAUUUCCUUAGACCAUGAGAUUGUGCAACUCCCGGAUACCGUAGGAGUGCUUUGGGUGUGCCAAACAUCACAACAUAACUGGGUGGCUAUAAAGGUACACUACAGGUAUCUCCGAAAGUGUCUGUUGGGUUGGCACGAAUCGAGACUGGGAUUUGUCACUCCGUGUGACGGAGAGGUAUCUCUAGGCCCACUCGGUAGGACAUCAUCAUAAUGUGCACAAUGUGAUCAAGGAGUUGAUCAUGGGAUGAUGUGUUAUGGAACGAGUAAAGAGACUUGCCGGUAACAAGAUUGAACAAGGUAUCGGGAUACCAACGAUCGAAUCUCGGGCAAGUAUCGUACCGCUGGACAAAGGGAAUUGUAUACGGGAUUGAUUAAGUCCUUUGCAUCGUGGUUCAUCCGAUGAGAUCAUCGUGGAGAAUGUGGGAGCCAACAUGGGUAUCCAGAUCCCGCUGUUGGUUAUUGACCGGAGAACGUCUCGGUCAUAUCUGCAUGGUUCCCGAACCCGUAGGGUCUACACACUUAAGGUUCGAUGACGCUAGGGUUAUAGGGAAAGUAUGUACGUGGUUACCGAAUGUUGUUCGGAGUCCCGGAUGAGAUCCUGGACAUCAUGAGGAGUUCCGGAAUGGUCUGGAGGUAAAGAUUUAUAUAUGGGAAGUCCUGUUUUGGUCAUCGGAAAAGUUUUGGAUUUUAUCGGUAACGUACCGGGACCACUAGGAGGGUCCCGGGGGUCCACCAAGUGGGGCCACCGGCCCCGGAGGGCUGCAUGGGCCAAGUGUGGGAGGGGACCAGCCCCAGGUGGGCUGGUGCGCCCCCCACAAGGGCCCAAGGCGCCUAAGGGGAGGAGGGGGGCAAACCCUAAGGGCAGAUGGGCCUUAGGGCCCAUGUCUGGUGCGCCUCCCUCUCCCCUCCACCUGGCCACCACCCAGAUGGGAUAUGGGGGCUGCCGCCACCCCUAGGGAGGGAACCCUAGGUGGGGGCGCAGCCCCUCCCCUCCCCCUAUAUAUACUUGAGGUUUGGGCUGCCCAAGACACACGAGUUCCUCUCCUACUUGGCACAGCCCUACCCCUCUCCCUCCUCAUCUCUUGCGGUGCUUGGCGAAGCCUGCUGGAGUACCACGCUCAUCCACCACCACCACGCCGUUGUGCUGCUGCUGAAUGGAGUCUUCCUCAACCUCUCCCUCUCUCCUUGCUGGAUCAAGGCAUGUGAGACGUCAUCGGGCUGUACGUGUGUUGAAUGCGGAGGUGCCGUCCGUUCAGCACUAGGAUCUCCGGUGAUUUGGAUCACGACGAGUACGACUCCUUCAACCCCGUUCUCUUGAACGCUUCCGCUUAGCGAUCUACAAGGGCAUGUAGAUGCACUCUCCUUCCCCUCGUUGCUGGUUUCUCCAUAGAUAGAUCUUGGUGACACGUAGGAAUUUUUUUGAAUUUCUGCUACGUUCCCCAACAGUCGCAUCAUGAGCUAGGUCUAUGCGUAGUUUCUAUGCACGAGUAGAACACAAAGUAGUUGUGGGCGUUGAUCUUGUUCAAUAUACUUACCGUUACUAGUCCAAUCUUGAUUCGGCGGCAUUGUGGGAUGAAGCGGCCCGGACCGACCUUACACAUACUCUUACGUGAGACUGGUUCCACCGACUGACAUGCACUAGUUGCAUAAGGUGGCUAGCGGGUGUCUGUCUCUCCCACUUUAGUCGGAUCGGAUUCGAUGAAAAGGGUCCUUAUGAAGGGUAAAUAGCAAUUGGCAUAUCACGUUGUGGUUUUUGCGUAGGUAAGAAAUGUUCUUGCUAGAAACCCAUAACAGCCACGUAAAACAUGCAAACAACAAUUAGAGGACGUCUAACUUGUUUUUGCAGAGUAUGCUAUGUGAUGUGAUAUGGCCAAGAAGAAUGUGAUGAAUGAUAUGUGAUGUAUGAGAUUGAUCAUGUUCUUAUAAUAGGAAUCACGAUUUGCAUGUCGAUGAGUAUGACAACCGGCAGGAGCCAUAGGAGUUGUCUUUAUUUAUUGUAUGACCUGCGUGUCAUUGAACAACGCCAUGUAAUUACUUUACUUUAUUGCUAACCGGUAGCCAUAGUAGUAGAAGUAAUAAGUUGGCGAGACAACUUCAUGGAGACACAAUGAUGGAGAUCAUGAUGAUGGAGAUCAUGGUGUCAUGCCGGUGACGAUGAUGAUCAUGGAGCCCCGAAGAUGGAGAUCAAAAGGAGCAAUAUGAUAUUGGCCAUAUCAUGUCACUAUUUGAUUGCAUGUGAUGUUUAUCAUGUUUAUACAUCUUAUUUGCUUAGAACGACGGUAGCUUAAAUAAGAUGAUCCCUCACUAAAAUUUCAAGAGAAGUGUUCUCCCUAACUGUGCACCGUUGCGAAAGUUCGUCGUUUGAAGCACCACAUGAUGAUCGGGUGUGAUAGAUUCUUACGUUCGAAUACAACGGGUGUUGACGAGCCUAGCAUGUACAGACAUGGCCUUGGAACACAUGCGAAACACUUAGGUUAACUUGACGAGCCUAGCAUGUACAGACAUGGCCUCGGAACACGGAGGGCUGAAAGGUCGAACAUGAGUCGUAUAGAAGAUGCGAUCAACAUGAGAUGUUCACCGAUGAUGACUAGUCCGUCUCACGUGAUGAUCGGACACGGCCUAGUUGAUUCGGAUCAUGUAUCACUUAGAUGACUAGAGGGAUGUCUAUCUGAGUGGGAGUUCAUAAGAUGAACUUAAUUAUCCUGAACAUAGUCAAAAGGUCUUCGCAAAUUAUGUCGUAGCUCGCGCUUCAGUUCUACUGUUUAGAUAUGUUCCUAGAGAAAAAAAAAUUAGUUGAAAGUUGAUAGUAGCAUUUAUGCAGACAGUAGAAGGCUUAUGUCCUUAAUGCACCACUCAGUGUGCUGAACCUCGAACGUCAUCUGUGGAUGUUGCGAACAUCUGACAUACACGUUUUGAUGACUACAUGAUAGUUCAGUGCGUAAUGCUAAAUGGUUUAGAAUUGAGGCACCAAAGACGUUUUUGAAACAUCGCAGAACAUAUGAGAUGUUCCAAGGACUGAAAUUGGGAUUUCAGGCUCGUACCCACGUCAAGAGGUAUAAGACCUCCGACGAUUUUCUUAGCCUGCAUAAUAAGGGAGAAAAGCUCAAUCUUGAGCUUGUGCUCAGAUUGUCUGAGUACAACAAUCGCUUGAAUCGAGUGGGAGUUGAUCUUCCAGAUGAAAUAGUGAUGGUUCUCCAAAGUCACUGCCACCAAGCUACUAGAGCUUCGUGAUGAACUAUAACAUAUCAGGGAUAGAUAUGAUCCUUGAGCUAUUCGCGACACCGCAAAAAAUAGAAAUCAAAAGGGAGCAUCAAUCGUUGAUGGUUAGUAAAACCACUAGUUUCAAGAAGGGCAAGGGAAAGAAAGGGAUACUUCAUGGAACAACAAAUCAGUUGCUGUUCUAGUGAAGAAACCCAAAGUUGAACCCAAGCCCGAGACUAAGUGCUUCUGUAAUAAGGGGAACAGUCACUGAAGCAGAACCACCCUAGAUACUUGGUAGAUGAGAAGGCUGGCAAGGUCGACAGAAGUAUAUUGGAUAUGCAUUAUAAUGUGUACUUUACUAGUACUCCUAGUAGCACCAGGGUAUUAGAUACCGGUUCGGUUGCUAAGUGUUAGUAACUCGAAACAAAAGGCUACGGAAUAAACGGAGACUAGCUAAAAGGUGAGAUGACGAUAUGUGUUGGAAGUAUUUCCAAGGUUGAUCAAACAUCGCACGCUCCCUCUACCAUCGAGAUUGGUGUUUGCGUUGAGCAUAGACAUGAUUGGAUUAUGUCUAUCGCAAUACGGUUAUUCAUUUAAGGAGAAUAAUGAUUACUCUGUUUAUUUGAAUAAUACCUUCAAUGGUCUUGCACCUAAAAUGAAUGGUUUAUUGAAUCUCGAUCGUAGUGAUACACAUGUUCAUGCCAAAAGAUAUAAGAUAGUAAUGAUAGUACCACCUACUUAUGGCACUGCCACGUAAGUCAUAUCGGUAUAAAACGCAUGAAGAAGCUCCAUGUUGAUGGAUCUUUGGGCUCACUUGUUUUUGAAAAGUUUGAGACAUGCGAACCAUGUCUAUUGAUGUAUAUGCAUGAAGAAACUCCAUGCAAAUGGACCGUUUGGACUCACUUGAUUUUGAAUCACUUGAGACAUGCAAAUCAUACCACAUGGGCAAGAUGACUGAAAGCCUCGUUUUCAGUAAAAUGGAACUAGAAAGCAACUUGUUGGAAGUAAUACAUUUUGAUGUGUGCAGUCCAAUGAGUGCUGAGGCGUGUAGUGGAUAUCGUUAUGUUCUUACUUCAUAGAUGAUUUGAGUAGAUGUUGAGUAUAUUUACUUGAUGAAUCACGAGUCUGAAUUAUUGAAAGGUUCAAGUAAUUUCAGGGUGAAGUUGAAAGAUCGUCGUGACAAGAGGAUAAAAGAUCUAUGAUAUGAUCAUAGAGAUGAAUAUCUGAAUUACGAGUUUGGCACAGAAUUAAGACAUUGUGGAAAUUGUUUCACAACUAAUACAGCCUGGAACACCAUAGUGUGAUGGUGUGUCCGAACAUCAUAACUGCACCCUAUUGGAUAUUGUAAGUGCAUCUAGUGCCACCCCUAGUUGGUUUUGGAGUAUUGACGACAAACAUAGUUGAGGGACUAAUGUGUUUAUGAGAAUUGCAGGAUAACACAGGUAGAAGUCCCUCAUUGAUUCGGUUUUCCUACCAGAGAUGACCCCUAAAAAUGUAUGAAGACAUUGAAGUCAAAGGUGGUAUAUGAAGAUAUUCACAUUGAAGACUAUGACAAGAGAAGACACCACAUGAAGCCUAUGGAGCUCGAAGACUUAGAUCUUUCGUAGUUCUUUUUCUUUUGUGUUGAGUCAUGGGAACCACCGUACUGUUAAGUGGGGUCCAAGAGAACCAGUCAGACUGACUGAAGUGAUGCCUAACCAAAAACCUAUGUCUUCGAGUGAAGACUAUGAGAGCGAAUCUUGUCUAGAGUCGGACAAGUCAGCUUUGCUUGUAGCCCAAGUAAAGUUGCCGUGUGAGAUUGAAAUCUGACCGUUGGAACACGUGUCAGUUCCUUAGUGACCCAGGGUCAUUUCGAACAAAUCAGGUCAGGUUGCCAAGUGGCUAUAAAUAGCCCACCCCCCACAACCAUAAAUGGUUGGCUGCUCAGAUUGAGAGUACGACUUUUGUCGUUUGAGAGCAACCCACCUCGAAGCCUUUGAGAGAGAAUUCCUUGCGAGGAUAAAGCCCUAACCACCCAGAGCCAGGGAGAAUUGGGCAUCACUUAAGUCUUCUUGUCUGUGUGAUCUGAAGACUUAUUACACUUGAGGACUGUGCAUCCUCCAGCCGGUUAGGCGUCGCGUUCUGAGCAUCCAAGAGACAUUGUGGAUUGCCGGUGAACGAAGUCUGUGAAGGUUUGGGAGUCUACCUUGAAGACUUACCAGAGUGAUUGGGCGAGGUCUGUGUGACCUUAGCUCAAGGGGAAUACGGUGAGGACUGGGUGUCCUUAGCUACAUGUUCAGGACUGGGUGUCCGGGACUGUGUGUCCUAAGGUUUAAAUACCUAGCCGCCCCAACCAGACGUACAGUUGUCACAGCAACUGGAACUGGUCCAACAAAUCAUUGUCUUCAACGAGUCACUGGUUUCAUCUUCCCUUCCCUUUACUUACUGUUGCUCCUUGUGAAGUCAUUGUAUGUUUGCACUAUCUUUUGUCUUCACUGAGUGACUUCAUGCUCUGUAUGGCUUCAUAAUAUCUUCCUACCUGAUCCUUACUACAUUGCUGCUAUUAAGUCAUUGUGCUUUCACUUCAUUGAACACUUGACUAUGGCUUGCCUAGUGUAGUCUACCUUCCGCUGUAUGGUAAUAGGUUUAUUUCUACCGUUUGUCUUCAUAACUUCCACGUUUUGAAGACUUUCAUAAAAAUCGCCUAUUCACCCCCCUCUAGUCGAUAUAACGCACUUUCAAUUGGUAUCAGAGCAAGGUGCUCCCUUGUUCUGUGUGAUUUGGUUUAACCACCUAGAGUUUUAGCUAUGUCGACUGCAGGGAUAAUUAAAGUCUUCGUUGUGUGCCCCGUCUUCGAUGGAACUGAAUAUCCCUACUGGAAGAAUAAGAUGCGCAUGCAUCUUGAAGCCAUUGAUGUCGACCUAUGGUAUGUCAUCGAAAACGGCGUUCCCAAGGCUGGAGAAGGUGUCACUGCUGCUGACGUCAAGAAAUUUGUUCAAUUGGACUCUACUGCCAAGAAUAUCAUCUGUGGUCACCUGACCAAAGGACAGUAUGGCCGUGUGAGUGCUUUGAAGACAUCUAAGCUGGUCUGGGACUGGCUCUCCAAGGUCAAUGAAGGCAUCUCAACCCAGAGAGAUCAGAGAAUCAGUGUCCUUCGUAACCUCUUCAACCGCUUCAAGCGAAAUGACAAUGAGAAUGUCCAGCACACUUUUGACCGACUCACUGACAUCACAAAUGAGCUUCAAGCCCUCGGCGCUACUGAGAUCACCAAACAUGAAGUCGUCAAGACACUACUGAGAUCACUUGACAGUUCGUUUGACAUCCUAGCCCUGAUGAUUCAAGAACGCCCUGAUUUCAAGACACUCGAUCCAUCUAACAUACUUGAGAGGCUCAACACACAUGAGUUUCAGCUUUCUGAGAAAAGAGAUAUCUACGGUCCAAACUAUGGGCGAACUCGUGCCUUGAAGGCAAAAGCUGUCUCCUCAUCUGAAGAAGAAUCUGACAGCAGUUCUGAUGAUCCUGAAGACAUUGGAAGAGAACUUGCUAUGCUUGUGAAGAAGUUCCAAAAAUUCACCAAGAAGAAAGGCUUCAGAAAGUAUUCCCGAUCAAGCUCAAGGAAUGAUGAAGCUUCUGCUCACGACUACAAGAAGAAAACAUGUCACAAGUGCAAGAAAUCUGGCCACUUCAUCUCUGAGUGUUCACAGUGGGACAAUGAGAACAAAAAGAAGAAGAAGAGCAAGGAAUAUGACUCUGACGACAAGAAGAAGAAGAAAUACUCAAAGUCUUCGUCUAAGUCUUCCUCAAAGUCUUCAUCACACAAGAAGAGCUCAUCUGGCAAGGCACGUGCAUUUGUUGGCAAGGAAAUGGACUCAGAGGAGGAGUCCGCUUCUGAGGAGGCGGAGGUGGAGUCUGAGGAGGAGUGCGAUUCAGGCGUUGCAAGUCUGGCUACAGCAUACGUUGCCAAGUCCAUCUUCA